GCGGCGUAGCAGGUGGGCAGCACGUUGCCAUGAUGUGCCGUGGCCCGGCCGUGGCUGGCGUGAUCCCACCAGAGUGAGCUGGAGCAGAUCUGCACCAUGGGCCAAGUUUCUCAGAAAAUACAUGGCUUCCUGCGGGCUGCAGCCUAAUGCCCACGUUCCUCUCGGGGCAGACCGAAGGUUAUUCAACCAGGGCAAAGGACAGCCUUGCAAACCAACUACGUCCUCCUUCUGGAGUUUGUGUGACCCCUGGCCCCUGAGCCCACACCCUCUCGGAGCGGGGUUCCAACUCCGUGGAAGCUCUGCUGAGAUGCAGGUCCCUCCCUCGACACCUGGGGAUUACAAUUAGAGAUGCGAUUUGGAUGGGGACACCGAGAGAAACCAUGACAGGGGCUCUCCAGAGAAGCAGCCCAGCCUUGGGCAACUUAGUUCUCCCAUCUGACCAUCCAACCCAAUAAGGCUGCUGACUCACAUAGGACCAGGUUAGUGUUUUUCUUAAAGGCACUACCUUUUUGUGGCUAAUUUUUAGAAUUUAUUUUUAUUAUUAUUUUUUUGAGACGGAGUCUCACUCUG
rnacentral:lncRNA from 10 species